UACGGAAGGCAGCAGUGGGGAAUAUUGCACAAUGGGCGCAAGCCUGAUGCAGCCAUGCCGCGUGUAUGAAGAAGGCCUUCGGGUUGUAAAGUACUUUCAGUCGUGAGGAAGGUGUUAAGGUUAAUAACCUUAGCAAUUGACGUUAGCGACAGAAGAAGCACCGGCUAACUCCGUGCCAGCAGCCGCGGUAAUACGGAGGGUGCGAGCGUUAAUCGGAAUUACUGGGCGUAAAGGGCACGCAGGCGGUUAAUUAAGUUGGAUGUGAAAUCCCCGGGCUUAACCUGGGAAUGGCAUUCAAGACUGGUUAGCUAGAGUCUUGUAGAGGGGGUAGAAUUCCAUGUGUAGCGGUGAAAUGCGUAGAGAUGUGGAGGAAUACCGGUGGCGAAGGCGGCCCCUGGACAAAGACUGACGCUCAGUGUGCGAAAGCGUGGGGAGCAAAC
rnacentral:rRNA from 1 species